rnacentral:rRNA from 1 species
GAAACCCAAAAGAUCGAAUGGGGAGAUUCAUCGUCAGCUCAUUUUGUAUAUGUAGAANGUUAUGAUGCGAGUUACUACUUGUAGUAUUGCUUGUACAUACUUUUAUAUUUAUUCGCAAAAUGUUGUCG